GACGAACGCUGGCGGCGUGCUUAACACAUGCAAGUCGAACGGAAAGGCCCUGCUUUUGUGGGGUGCUCGAGUGGCGAACGGGUGAGUAACACGUGAGUAACCUGCCCUUGACUUUGGGAUAACUUCAGGAAACUGGGGCUAAUACCGGAUAGGAGCUCCUGCUGCAUGGUGGGGGUUGGAAAGUUUCGGCGGUUGGGGAUGGACUCGCGGCUUAUCAGCUUGUUGGUGGGGUAGUGGCUUACCAAGGCUUUGACGGGUAGCCGGCCUGAGAGGGUGACCGGCCACAUUGGGACUGAGGUACGGCCCAGACUCCUACGGGAGGCAGCAGUGGGGAAUAUUGCACAAUGGGCGGAAGCCUGAUGCAGCAACGCCGCGUGCGGGAUGACGGCCUUCGGGUUGUAAACCGCUUUCGCCUGUGACGAAGCGUGAGUGACGGUAAUGGGUAAAGAAGCACCGGCCAACUACGUG
rnacentral:rRNA from 1 species